rnacentral:rRNA from 1 species
AGAGCGAACGCUGGCGGCGUGCUUAACACAUGCAAGUCGAACGCGCAGCAUUUUGUAGCAAUACAGGAUGUGGGCGCGUGGCGAACGGGUGCGUAACACGUGGGCAACCUUCCCUUCGGUGGGGGAUACCCUCGCGAAAGCGAGACUAAUACCGCAUAACAUUCCCUUGGUUACGACUGAGGGAUUCAAAGCAGCAAUGCGCCGGAAGAGGGGCCCGCGGCCGAUUAGCUAGUUGGUGAGGUAACGGCUCACCAAGGCUUUGAUCGGUAACCGGUCUGAGAGGACGAUCGGUCACACUGGAACUGAGACACGGUCCAGACUCCUACGGGAGGCAGCAGUGGGGAAUAUUGCGCAAUGGGCGAAAGCCUGACGCAGCGACGCCGCGUGGGGGAUGAAGCUUUUCGGAGUGUAAACCCCUUUCGACCCGGACGAAAGCCCGCAAGGGCCUGGACGGUACGGGUAUAAGAAGCCCCGGCUAACUACGUGCCAGCAGCCGCGGU